CACACGCCACCUAAGAAACAAAAAAGAAAACCCUUCACACAUCACCUCCGAAACGAAAAAGAAAACCCUUCACACGCCACCUAAGAAACAAAAAAGAAAACCCUUCACACACCACCUCCGAAACCAAAAAAAAAAAUAAGCGGAGUGGAGUGGGCCAGCCACGGGGGAAGAAAAGGUGUGCACUCGGGAGGCACAUAAGCAAGCAGCAGAAAGCCGGGCUGGGUCACCCUUCCCCCCAAAGGCCACAUGGAGACUCGGGAGCUCCCCAACCUGGGGAUGGGGGGGAAAAAAACCCUUCACACCUCCACCUUCAAAACCAAACACAAUGGUGGUGGUCGUGGGGAAGAAGCGGUGUGUGCACUCGGGAGGCACAUAAAAGCAGGCAGCAGAAGGCCGGGCUGGUUCACCCUUCCCCCCAAGGCCUCAUGGAGACUCGGGAGCUCCAUAACCUGGGGGUGGAGAAAACAGUGCACUCGGGAGGCACACAGGGGACCCACCCAGUCCGUGGAGACUCGGGAGCUCCAUCUGAUCCCCAAAAGAAACUUGGAAAAAAAAAAAAAAAAACACCGGGACGGUAAGGGAAGAGCACCGGGAGGCAAGUCCCACCAUCCAAACUGCACGGGUGACAACCACGAAGCGGGAACGCCUGACACGCCACGUAGGUUGGGUUAAACGGGAAAAACGACCCAGCGAGGCUCGGAAGAGACCGCAACCUACAGAGUCCUUUCAUGUCACCCACUUCAAGGACAGCGUGUCAGCACCUAUCUGCAGGUACAAUAAGGACAGAUAGCAACCACUAGAAGAAUGACACCAGGUACAGGGAGCAAUUCACAGACCACAGGGGACUCCUGAAAGUGAGGCUGGGUGACAUGUCCCAAAAAUGUCCCCAUAAACAAGAGAACCGACCCUCAAAGGAACAACUGGUCGACCUCAUGACCAUGAAAGGACCGAGAGAGCGAGGUGGACAUGCCACAAAGCCGGGCGCCCAGCCUCCUCCCGGCCGAGGACCCUGCGACCAGCCGCUAGGGAUGGAGCAGGGCAAGAAAAAAAAAAAAUACCUGACGGUACAGGAAACCGGGGACCAGUGAACAGAGAACAGAGAAGCCGUGACCGCAGCCUCCUCUCGGCCUCGAGACGACGAGGCCCGCCUCUGAGGACCGAGAGUUCUGGCAAGGAGAAAAACAAAAGAAAAAAAAGAAAAAAAUGCUCCGAGGCCACCCAACGAGUACGGACCAGGGAGGCGAGAAAGCCGUCGAGACCACAGUCUCCUCUCGCCCUCAGGAUGGCGAGGCCCACCGCUGAGGACCGAGGAAAAAAUAAAUAAAUAAAUAAAUAAAUAAAUAAAUAAAUAAAUAAAUAAAUAAAGCUCCGAGACCCCCAACGAGUCCGGACCAGGGAGGAGAGAAAGCCGGGACCACAGCCUCCUCUCGGCCUCAGGAUGGCGAGGCCCGCCGCCGAGGACCGAGGGUUCUGACAAGGAGGAAAAUAAUCAAAAGCUCCGACACCCCCAACGAGUCCGGGCACGGGCGGCGGGGAAGAGCCGUGAUCAACCAGCGCCCCCUCUCGGCCUCGGGUCGCCGGGGACCCAGGGCUCUCUCUCUCUUAGAGAGAAAAGGCGAGGGAAAGACAGCUUUGAAAGCCGGGGUACUUCACCCAUCCUGGGCCUGGCCGGACCCGACACCUAGCGGUGGGACGACGCGAACGACUCAAGCCUUCUGGUCGACCCGCUCAAGUCUCCCGGCACCCUCCCCAGCCGUGGCUUUCGUUCGGUUCCAUCCCAGACGCACCCAUAGGCGACUCUUCCGGCACAACCUCCUACACAGAGACCGUCCCCAAGCACGACACCGACCGCGGGACACGCCCGCCCGCCAGCCGGGACUCUCGUCACUCUUUCCGCCUCACAAAAGCCACUUCGCCCUCCUUGUCGGCGACCGAGGACCAGGAGCGUUGCACAAAACGGCCAACACCGCUAGGUGGCGCCCGACGACCCACCCGACCCACAGAGAUCGCUCGCUCGCUCGCUCGCUCGCUCUCGCUCGCUCGGCCGCGGCGCGCGAGCCUUCUCUGGCGCGACAGAGUGUCCUCCCACGCUCACGCCCGGAGGUGACACGCACCCACGACAGGGCAGGGGACUCCCCGUCGUCGGUUCCCCCACACCCCAUCCCCGAACAUGGGUGAACGCGGGCUGGCCGGGACGGACGUUCGGGAGGAGCCACGGACGCUCAGGCUACGAAAACGAAAGGAGGAACCGAGACCACAGGCAGCUAGCUAGGAAAACAGGCCAAUCGCUCUCCCUCGUGGAGAGGCAGGGAGGGAGGGAGGCUCACGGGAAACAAAGAGUGCGUCUCCACGAUCAGUGACAAUAUUAAGUGGGCCAGUCGAGGGGCUGCGACACUUAGAGCACGGAAUAAUAGGGUCAUGCGGAUCUGUUGUGAACAUUUUCACUUAGGACGGAGAAAAUUAAAAGGUCGUUUGAUGGAUUUCUGGUGGAGGGUCUAUUUCCCACCGCGAUGAAGAUGAUCUCCUGAUCCUUGUACUUUCAGUUUCUGAGUGCUGCUGGCAUGACAGACACGGGCCCUCACACGCGCGUUGACGAGACAGUACUGACUGAGUGACAGCAUGGAGCCCGUAGGACAAGGCUUCGGCUUCCCCUUCCCCUCCCACAUAAACCAGAAAAAUAAAUAAAUAGAUCAAUAAAUACCCAGAGGCAGAAA